rnacentral:rRNA from 1 species
UACGGGGGGAGCAAGCGUUGUUCGGAUUUACUGGGCGUAAAGGGCGCGUAGGCGGCCACCGCAAGUCGACUGUGAAAUCUCCGGGCUUAACCCGGAAAGGUCAGCCGAUACUGCGGGGCUAGAGUGCAGAAGGGGCAACUGGAAUUCUCGGUGUAGCGGUGAAAUGCGUAGAUAUCAGGAGGAACACCAAUUGCGAAGGCAGCUCGCUGGGACGUUACUGACGCUGAGGAGCGAAAGCGUGGGGAGCAAACAGG